UACGAAGGGGGCUAGCGUUGCUCGGAAUCACUGGGCGCAAAGCGCACGUAGGCGGAUUGUUAAGUCAGGGGUGAAAUCCUGGAGCUCAACUCCAGAACUGCCUUUGAUACUGGGGAUCUUGGAGUCCGGGAGAGGUGAGUGGAACUGCGAGUGUAGAGGUGAAAUUCGUAGAUAUUCGCAAGAACACCAGUGGCGAAGGCGGCUCACUGGCCCGGUACUGACGCUGAGGUGCGAAAGCGUGGGGAGCAAACAGG
rnacentral:rRNA from 1 species